CUACGGGUUGCAGCAGUGAGGAAUAUUGCACAAUGGGGGGAACCCUGAUGCAGCAACGCCGCGUGGAGGAUGACGCAUUUCGGUGUGUAAACUCCUUUUAUAUGUCAAGAAAAUGACGGUAGCAUAUGAAUAAGCACCGGCUAACUCCGUGCCAGCAGCCGCGGUAAUACGGAGGGUGCAAGCGUUACUCGGAAUCACUGGGCGUAAAGGACGCGUAGGCGGGUUGGAAAGUCAGGUGUGAAAUCCUACAGCUUAACUGUAGAGCUGCACUUGAAACUUCGAAUCUAGAGUAUGGGAGGGGGAGAUGGAAUUAGUGGUGUAGGGGUAAAAUCCGUAGAUAUCACUAGGAAUACCUAAAGCGAAGGCGAUCUCCUGGAACAUUACUGACGCUAAGGCGUGAAAGCGUGGGGAGCAAACAGGAUUAGAUACCCUUGUAGUC
rnacentral:rRNA from 1 species